CCGUUACAGAGCAGAAAGAAAUCAACAGAGCUUUAGAGACGCAACUGAAGGAACAACAGACAUUUAUCCUGGAAGAGCUGAACAAGAAAAAUGAAGAAAUUUCAAAUCUUACUCUGAGUCAAGUGGAGUUGAGAAAGGAAAAUAGAGACAGAGAAAUAGCUUUUUCAGCUUCAAUGAUGGAAUCUGGCAGUGGAUAUAUUGGUCCUUUUCCCACUGAAAUCACACUUACCUACAGGAACGUCUUCACAAACAUAGGGAACGCCUACAACCCAAUUACAGGGGGUUAGGCUCCAGACCCGCCAUGGCCGUCCACGUCUCCAGACCCGCCAUGGCCGCCCACGUCUCCUGACCCGCCAUGGCCGCCCACGAUUCCUGACCCACCACGGCGGCCUGAACUCCUGGACCCGCCCUGGAGACCUCCGUGCCCGUCCGCUCCUCUCCCUGCACCUGCGUGAGGUCUCCAGGGCACCUAAACUCUAUAGGUCUAAAACUCUAUAGGUCAAAAAAGAAGCCAUAUCUAAACAUGAUCCAGAAGCGCAGGCGUUUUCUCUGGGCCAAGGCUCAUUUAAAAUGGACUGUGGCAAAGUGGAAAACUGUUCUGUGGUCAGACGAAUCAAAAUUUGAAGUUCUUUUUGGAAAACUGGGACGCCAUGUCAUCCGGACUAAAGAGGACAAGGACAACCCAAGUUGUUAUCAGCGCUCAGUUCAGAAGCCUGCAUCUCUGAUGGUAUGGGGUUGCAUGAGUGCGUGUGGCAUGGGCAGCUUACACAUCUGGAAAGGCACCAUCAAUGCUGAAAGGUAUAUCCAAGUUCUAGAACAACAUAUGCUCCCAUCCAGACGUCGUCUCUUUCAGGGAAGACCUUGCAUUUUCCAACAUGACAAUGCCAGACCACAUACUGCAUCAAUUACAACAUCAUGGCUGCGUAGAAGAAGGAUCCGGGUACUGAAAUGGCCAGCCUGCAGUCCAGAUCUUUCACCCAUAGAAAACAUUUGGUGCAUCAUAAAGAGGAAGAUGCGACAAUGAAGACCUAAGACAGUUGAGCAACUAGAAGCCUGUAUUAGACAAGAAUGGGACAACAUUCCUAUUCCUAAACUUGAGCAACUUGUCUCCUCAGUCCCCAGACGUUUGCAGACUGUUAUAAAAAGAAGAGGGGAUGCCACACAGUGGUAAACAUGGCCUUGUCCCAACUUUUUUGAGAUGUGUUGAUGCCAUGAAAUUUAAAAUCAACUUAUUUUUCCCUUAAAAUGAUACAUUUUCUCAGUUUAAACAUUUGAUAUGUCAUCUAUGUUGUAUUCUGAAUAAAAUAUUGAAAUUUGAAA